rfam:Corynebacterium kroppenstedtii DSM 44385, complete genome.
GCCCCGGCCAUCCCCCCGAGCCGGGUAAGACGGCCCGCAUCGAUCCCCCCUGAUGCGGGCCGUCGCUC